rnacentral:tRNA from 1 species
GGUGGCUCAGUGGUAGAGCGCUUGCCUUGUGUGCAUGCGGCCCUGGGUUGGAUUCCUUAGCACCA